CCUGGUUCCACCCCUCCCUAACCCUCAUUUAGGGGCUAGCUGCUACAAAAGAAGGAUCUCUACCCAGGGAUCCCUCCUUUUGAAGUAUUUGGUGAGUUCUGUUUCUUGGCACAGGUAUCAGAUUUCACUGGAAUGACUUGAGUAAGCUUUCACUCAAACUAAGAUUGGGGAUUAGCAACUAUUGGUAUUAUGAAGUAUCUCAGGACAGUGAUGGUACUGAUGUUUUAUCUCUGCUGCAAAGUGCAGGAUCUCAGGAGUUCAUCACAGAAUAAUGGAAUGGCCUGAGCUGAAAAGGACCACAAUGAUCAUCCAGGUUCAAACCCCGUGCUAUGUACAGGGUUGCCAGCCACCAGACCAGACCGUCCAGAGCCACAUCCAGCCUGGCCUUGAAUGCCUCCAGGGAUGGGGCAUCCACAACCUCCUUGGGCAACCUGUUCUGGUGUGUCACCACCCUCUGUCUAAAAAACUUCCUGCUAAUAUCUCACCUAAACCUCCC
ensembl:lncRNA